AGGCCCUAGACCAACUGCAGCUGAAGCACGCUUUUGAUGAAAAUAAGAAUCACAGUAAUCAGAGAGUCACACUGAGCCUAGCCUUCUGUCUCAAGCAUUCCACUGAAAUUAAAGAAGACCUAAGCAAACCCACGUAAAGCUCACGGGGUAUGAGCUCAUAUAGGUGUAGCUGGGCACAGUUGGGAGUGUACACAGACUAGGAUCACCAAAAGGGAAACUCAUUUGCUUGACUGAUUGAUGUAGGAGGUGAAAGUGAUCCAACCUUUGGAGCUGACAGCUGAAAAUCUCCAUCAGCAGGAUUUUCAUGAAUCUCCAUUUCCCUAAAAGCUGCACCCAUGUGCUGCACUGGGUUUGACCAACCGUCAAGAGGGAGAGUGAAUCUCUCAAAGUAGAGGCAGCUGUUAAAACAAAGCAGGAAGAUAAAUGCCAAUAAGUGCACAUAGCCCUGUGAAAUCAGUGGCAUGCUAAUAAAGAUCAAUUAUGCAGGAGGAACACUUGUUUACACCUUUACUGCCAGUGGCACUCAAGCUGAGAGCAACUGGUUUCUUUUGAUCAGGAGAGGAUGCUCGGAGACAAGAGAUCCACUUGGCAUCUUUUGAAAUUUGGGGACAAAAGUCUGCUUUCAUUUUACACAUCCAAAAUGAAAAUAAAGUCAUCUUUGGGCAUUUUGCAAAGCAAAUUUUGUCAGCACAGUAGUUCUCUGCUGAAAUCAACAGAUUAUAGUGUUAUUCCUUCCCCUCUGUCUUUCUGCCACUCUGAAACUGUGAUUAGAGAUGGUGCAGGAGGGGCUUCAGUGUACUACAGACUUCUGUGGUGCCCCAAGUGUCCACCUAGAGCCUUAAGAGAUCAUGUUGUGACUUCUUCCAGGGCUCCUUCCUCAUGGAAAUGAGGACGUGAUAGGGAAGAUGGCACCUUCUCAUCUCGCACCCCAAGCAGAAGGCAGCCAUAGCUCAGAAGGGAUGGAGCUGGAGAGCCCAUGCUGGACUUCAGAGGCAUGGCUACUGAGCUCUUCCGUGUUGAUGUUUCUCAAUCAAAUAUGUCUGCU